CACGUAGGGGACGAGCGUUGUCCGGAUUCAUUGGGCGUAAAGCGCGCGUAGGCGGCUCGGAAAGUCGGUCGUGAAAUGCCGGGGCUCAACCCCGGGACUGCGUCCGAUACUCCCGAGCUGGAGGCAGGUAGGGGAGAUCGGAAUUCCUGGUGUAGCGGUGAAAUGCGCAGAUAUCAGGAGGAACACCGGUGGCGAAGGCGGGUCUCUGGGCCGUAACUGGACGCUGAGGAGCGAAAGCAUGGGGAGCGAACAGG
rnacentral:rRNA from 1 species